rnacentral:rRNA from 1 species
ACCCGUCUUGAAACACGGGCCGAGGAGUCUAACAUGCGCGCGAGUCGUUGGGUCGGACACGCUCCGCUAAACCCAUGGGCGCAAUGAAAGUGAAGGUCUCCCUUUGCGGGGCCGAGGGAGGACGGAGGCGUCGUCUCGGCGCCUCCCGCACUCCCGGGGCGUCUGAUUCCUCUCNNNGAGGGAAGGCGCACCCAGAGCGCACACGUUGGGACCCGAAAGAUGGUGAACUAU